CAAAAGACAAGGCAAGGCAGCUCAUCAGCUAUAUUUAUGAAAAAUAUUUCUUACCCAUGCUCGUAACAGUGGUUAAGAAACACAAUAAAUUGUUUUGUAUUACUUUACAUUUGUGUAGAAAGAACUCUGAGAGAAACAAAAUCAGGUAAAAUAUGUAGUGCAACAUGAUCUGUCAAAAAUAAUCUUUUUAAAUCACACAAAAAAGUCAUUUAAGCAGUGGCGUCUUUCCGAAAGUUUUUUUUUUGGUAACAAAACAAUGCCCAAAGAGAUGGGCCAUGGUCUCCGAGGACAGGUACAGAAGGACCAAGAUGCAUCAAUGCCAUGAUUAAAUCUUGUUGAACAAAAUGUUUAGUUGGGUUAAAUCUAUCAUGUGUUAUUUUUAAAUAAAAUGUCUUGUUUUGUAGCUAAUAAAGAAUUUACUCGCUGAAAUGAGAGAGUUUUGUGUAGUUCAGACCACAUUUUUUAAUUAAUUGACUUUCCUUGCGUAAUGAAGCAAAGUUUGCCAACAGGUGUUCACUUAGGGUCUAUGGGGUUUUCUUAUCUAACUAGAGAAAGGUCAAGUUCUUCAAAGAGCAACUCACAUCAAAAUUAACUUUUUUAGUUGAUAACUAGUAUAAAUGAGUGUCUAAUAGUGUUGUAGACAUGUGUAGUUAUUAUUUUUGCAUUUUGAUGCAUUUUCUUUGAAAACUCUAAAUUCUGUCUAAAAAUGUCAGUCUAGCACCAUCUUCAGCUCAAAGGUCUGGAGCACGUUUAAGUUGAGUCUGAUGUAACCAAUGGCUAACGAGCACGAUGCUACGUUUCCAAGAACAGUACUACGUAACAGCUCUGUGGCUGUAGGUUAUAAAAGCACCGCGGUCUCAACCAGCCUUGUAGCAGUCGGGCUGGUAAGUGAGUUGUGCUGUAGUUAGCAUUAGCAUUGUGUCAGAGUCCUAGCAAAACUUCUAGUAUUAAGAUUAUUUAGUUUGAGUAGCUUGGCUGUUAGAUUUUGCAGUUUAGUAUUUUUUAUGUCAGACUCUUUCACCAACUUGGUGGAGCUUGAACUGGUUAUGCUGGUUUGAAGAGCAUUUCACAAAUUAGUCCAAACUGUUCCAGUAAUUAGCCGGAUCCCGCCGACUGCUGCUUCCUCAAAACGGAGAUUUUGGGCCCAAUUUGAAAUGACCUCCCAGCAGCUGUGUGUCUGACACUGGGACCAUGAUGGGAAUUCCACCCAGAGCAGCUUCUACACUCCUGAACAGACCCAGGUGUGGUGGAGAACUUCUGAGCAGCUUCCGUCUGAAUGACAGGACAAGCUCCAUGAACUGAUCCAGGCUAAAUGAACCCAAGAACUCUGCUGUCAGACUGACUGUUGCAGCUACAAAUGGUCCAGACUAACAUGAAGCCUUGCAGGUGUAGUAAAGCUUGGAGCUAGAUUACAUCAUGACAUCAUGAAGGAGACUACUGAUUCUGGUCCUGUGACACUUGGUGGUGACGUGUGAGCUGAUUCACCUGGACACUCAUCAAAAUAUGGUCACUACACCAUGAGGCAGGCACACGUUAAUACUCUAUAAGAGCACAUAAGGUGAGCAACACCACAUAUUAUUAUUAUUAUUACUG